rfam:Loxodonta africana unplaced genomic scaffold scaffold_0, whole genome shotgun sequence.
GCAGUGAUGGUUCAGCGGUAGAAUUCUCACAUUCCAUGUGGGAGACCUGGUUUAAAUUCCUGGCCAGUGCA